rnacentral:rRNA from 1 species
GUCAUACAAUGGUCGGUACAGAGGGUUGCCAAGCCGCGAGGUGGAGCCAAUCCCUUAAAAGCCGAUCGUAGUCCGGAUCGUAGUCUGCAACUCGACUACGUGAAGUCGGAAUCGCUAGUAAUCGCAGAUCAGCAUGCUGCGGUGAAUACGUUCCCGGGUCUU